GUGCUCACUUUGGCAGCACGUAUACUAAAAUUGGAAUGAUACAGAGAAGAUUAGCAGGGCCCCUGGGCAAGAUGACAAGCAAAUUUGUGAAUUGAUCCAUAUUAAA